GACGAACCGAGCGAACGUUAUUCGGAAUCACUGGGCUUAAAGGGCGCGUAGGCGGACGAUCAAGUCAGGGGUGAAAGCCCCCGGCUCAACCGGGGAAGUGCCUCUGAUACUGGUCGUCUCGAGGGAGGUAGGGGCGUGCGGAACUUCCGGUGGAGCGGUGAAAUGCGUAGAUAUCGGAAGGAACACCGGUGGCGAAAGCGGCGCGCUGGACCUCUUCUGACGCUGAGGCGCGAAAGCCAGGGGAGCGAACGGG
rnacentral:rRNA from 1 species